rnacentral:tRNA from 1 species
AAGCUUAUAGCUCAGUUGGUUAGAGCGUGUGCCUGAUAAGCGCAAGGUCGGUAGUUCAAGUCUACUUAAGCUUA